UACGUAGGGGGCGAGCGUUGUCCGGAUUUAUUGGGCGUAAAGCGCGCGCAGGCGGUUCGUUAAGUCCGAUGUGAAAGCUCCCGGCUCAACUGGGAGAGGUCUUCGGAUACUGGCGAACUCGAGGGAGGCAGAGGAAGGUGGAAUUCCGGGUGUAGUGGUGAAAUGCGUAGAGAUCCGGAGGAACACCAGUGGCGAAGGCGGCCUUCUGGGCCUUUCCUGACGCUGAGGCGCGAAAGCGUGGGGAGCAAACAGG
rnacentral:rRNA from 1 species